rnacentral:rRNA from 1 species
AUUGAACGCUGGCGGCAGGCUUAACACAUGCAAGUCGAGCGAGAGGCGGACGGGUGAGUAAGGUAGUAGAACCUGCCUGACGUAGGGGGAUAACUGCUGGAAACGGUAGCUAAUACUGCUAACAAUAAGCUGUGCCCAGAUGGGAUUAGCUAGAAGGUGGGGUAAUGGCUCACCUAGGCGACGAUCCCUAGCUGGUCUGAGAGGAUGACCAGCCACACUGGAACUGAGACACGGUCCAGACUCCUACGGGAGGCAGCAGUGGGGAAUAUUGCACAAUGGGCGCAAGCAUGAUGCAGCCAUGCCGCGUGUGUGAAGAAGGCCUUCGGGUUGUAAAGCACUUUCAGCGAGGAGGCGUUACUCGCAGAAGAAGCAACGGCUAACUCCGUGCCAGCAGCCGCGGUAAUUC